CGGUGGUUCAGUGGUAGAAUGCUCGCCUUCCACGCGGGCGGCCCGGGUUCGAUUAAAAAAACGAAAGAAAGA